rnacentral:lncRNA from 1 species
GGAAACUGGGAAAAAGUUCUAUUCCAAGAAGGAAGUCACUCGGUAUAUGAACACAAAAGAUACUUGCCAUGAUGUAGCUCAAGUACUGAAUCAAGAUAAGAGCAGCUCCGAGAACAAUGUUAGUCAAAUGAAUCAUCAAGAUAAGAGCUUCUCUGAGAACAAUGUUAGUCAAAUGAAUUAUCAAGAUUCCGAGAACAAUGUUAGUCAGGUGAGUUUUGAAGGUGAAGUAACAACGACUAGCACGGAGAACAAUGUUAGUCAAAUGAGUCAUCAAGAUAAGAGCUUCUCUGAGAAUAAUGUUAGUCAAAUGAAUUAUCAAGAUAGGAGCUGCUCCGUGAACAAUGUUAGU